ensembl:snRNA U1 U1 spliceosomal RNA
AUACUUACCUGGCAGGGGAGAUACCAUGAUCACGAAGGUGGUUACCCCAGGGUGAGGCUUAUCCAUUGCAUUCCCGAUGUGCUGACCCCUGUGAUUCCCCCAACUGUGGGAGACUUGACUGCAUCAUUUGUGGUAAUGGGGGACUGCAUUUGCACUUUUCCCUG